rnacentral:tRNA from 1 species
GGGGCUUUAGGGUAGCUUCAUGCGAAAGCAGCUUCGCGACGUUCACAAGCUUUUUGAAGAAUCAAACCUCAAAAGCUUCGAACGCGAGCGAGAAGAUUUAGCUGCUCCGCAUGCUAAAAUGGUCAUCCUUCUGGCUUUGGGAGCCAGAGACUCCGGUUCAAAUCCGGAAAGCCCCA